rnacentral:rRNA from 1 species
UGACUGGGGCGGUCUCCUCCCAAAGAGUAACGGAGGAGCACGAAGGUGGGCUAAUCACGGUUGGACAUCGUGAGGUUAGUGCAAUGGCAUAAGCCCGCUUGACUGCGAGAAUGACAAUUCGAGCAGGUGCGAAAGCAGGUCAUAGUGAUCCGGUGGUUCUGAAUGGAAGGGCCAUCGCUCAACGGAUAAAAGGUACUCCGGGGAUAACAGGCUGAUACCGCCCA